UGUACCACUCGUCGUUAAUCAGGGCUGUUGAUGCGAACCAGCGGUAUGCAGACAUAUUACAAUUGGAGUCUAAGUCUACUUGAAAAUCGGGUGGACUAUAUCUUUUGGUGAUGAGUGGGUGGUAUGAAAAUAAAAUAAUUUGCAACACACGGGGAAAUAGUUAUGCACGUCCACCGAUGCGGACCGUGUAAUGCGAUUAUCCUGUAAACAGAACGCAGAAACUGGUACCGAAGAGCAUAUCGCAGUAGACAUGAAAUAAGAUACUUGUGUUGAACAUGAAUUUUUAUACUCCAAAAUUUACAUAGGUAGGAGAAGAAUUCAUAAGAGCUAAGUAGCAAAAACCGUUACUACAUGAGUAUUCAGAUAGUGAUCAAACGAGAAAAAAAAUAAUCAACUACAGAGUGUCUACUGCAGAAUCUCCGUGCGCAUAAUUUGGUGGAUAUGUUUAAUCAAAUAUUGAAUACCGUGUACAAUCAAGUUUAAGAAAAGAGAAAUCAUUAUUAUAAUUUUUUUUAAGUGUUAUCAUCCGGUGCAACGCUAAAAAUGGCUGUUCGCUUAAAUUUAUGCACUUCUGUGGAAAACAAAAAUACCGGUAUUAAAUUAUGGAUUUAGGUACGAGGACCUGCGUGACGAACGAAAAAGGAUUAACAAUUCGUAAUUCAAUUUGUAUGUUAAUAUUCGGGUUAGUAAGUCCUGACGUCGAUUAACGAAUGUAUAAUAAUACGAUUUGAUAAAAUAAUAUUUUAUGUGUAUAAUGUCUACAGUUGUAACGAAUCUGAUCUAAUCGAAAAUGAUUUACGAUCAUCUGUAUUUCAGUGUGCGAGAUAGGCGUGUUUAAACCGUACUGACGUUUUUAAUAAGUCUUAUGAAACUUUGGCGAUUAAAAUCUAAACGUUUGCACGCGAGUGGUAGUGCGAAAUCGUCCACACAAUCCGUAGUACAUUAAUGACUAUAAUAAUAAUGAUAAUAAUAAUACGAUGAAUGCUACACCGAAGAUUUUGGUUAAGAUUAGCGUGAUCGAGUCGAUUAAUAUACGUACCUAUAGAAAGGGUGAGACGGAUUAGUAUAUUAUUAUACUUUCUCAUUAUCUAACUGAUGGCCUUUAUAUAAUCGUACCAAGCCGUAUAGUUUCACAUUUGAAUAUAAAAUUGUAUAGAAUAUGGUUUUGUCGGAUUACAAUUAUGCAAGGCCUGCAACCGUCUUAAAGUAUAAUCGAUAAAAUUUAAAAAUAAGAGGUGCAUAACGAACGAAUUACUAGCCCAAAGUGUGGCGGGUAGACAUAGCCGAAAAAUCACCAAGAUGAUAGCAUUUGAUUUAAUCGAAUAUAGACUUGUUAUUUUGUGUAGGUAUUUGCUAUAUAUUUACUAUGAUAAAAUUACAAAAAUUAUAAUAAGACUUCGAAUUUAUGAUUUUGCAAGAUUACCUAUUGUUGAUUGUUAUUUUAAAUACAUUUUGUUUUUUAGUGGGUUCCUAAUGUAUGUUGUAUAGUUAUUUUAUGAGUUUAAAACCAUGAACUGUUUAGGAAGUUUUAAAAAAUUAUGUAGCUUUCAAGUUUGUAAAAAAUAUUUUUUAGAUUUAGAUAUAACAUAAAAUUUACUACGUAUUCACAUGGGUUUUGAAAUAGGAAUUCAUUAUGUUUUUGCCAAGUGUGGCCAACGAUAGAAAUUAUAGGCUGCUGCUUCCAUCCCGAUCAAUGUUGGUGGCGAAAUAUCCAAGAAGUCGGUUUAUUCGUAAAACAAUAAUUAUAUUAUUAAUAUAUAUGUUAUAAGGAUCAAUUUUUAAAAAUAAGCAAAUUUUUAAAGUACAUUUUUGGUAUGCCAUUACUUGACCCAGAUGACGUAGAAAAUUCAGUUGUGUUUGAUUUGAAGUUAUGUAAUGUUUUCAAUAAUUCCGAAGUUCUUAAACUUGUAAUUCAUUUAACGGAUAAUUAUGUCAUGAAUUAUGCUGUAUUUCCUCUCCGUUCAAAGGCAGAAUCUUCCAGUUAAAUGUUACUCACAACUUACAACUGUGAACCAUUUCACUCCAAAUUAAAUUCAAUGUUCUAUUCAAGCCAUCUCAAUAGUUUUCAAUCUAUUAAAGUUCUUAGAAAUUUUCAAAAUGAUAUUAACAUACAAAUUAGAAGUACUGGAACAUUAUCAGAGACGAUGCGCGAAAACAAUUGAUCUACUAGUCAAAAAUUAAAUGUACAGAAAAAUGGACAAAUUUCUCGAUUUAAAUUUAUUAAAACAGUAUCAUUUAAAUU
rnacentral:lncRNA from 1 species